rnacentral:rRNA from 1 species
UACGAAGGGUGCAAACGUUGCUCGGAAUCACUGGGCUUAAAGCGUGUGUAGGCGGCCCGUUAAGUGCCUCGUGAAAUCCCCCGGCUCAACCGGGGAACUGCCGGGCAUACUGGCGGGCUUGGGUCGCUCAGGGGCAGACGGAACAGGGCGGUGGAGCGGUGAAAUGCGUAGAUAUCGCCUGGAACGGCCGAAGGUGAAAACAGUCUGACUGGGGG